rnacentral:rRNA from 1 species
AUGUGGGUGCGGGUAUCUACUCUCCAUUUUGAGGGUAAUGCCGCGCGAUGGCUUCAGGUGCAGGAAGCACACGACACCUCCUUCACCUGGGAGACACUUUGCUCAGCCGUGUGCGCCAAAUUUGGCCGCGAACAGACCAAGGCCAGGCGAGGCACCCUGCUCGUCCGCUGCAGGCUCCGGGUGGACUACCUCCUUGUCCCAUGCCACCAGCGCCCCCAGGAGCGGCAGAAGAUCGUUGGGCAUUGGACGUGGCUCGUGGAGCCGAUCGGCGCGCUGAACCAGCGCGAGGCGAGGACCGCGGCAUGUGUGGCAGGAACUGUUCAAGCUCUGCCGGACAGACCUGCGCCUCAACUCUUCAUACCACCCCAGACCGACGAGCAAACCGAACACGUCAAUCAGUGCCUGGAAGGAUACCUAAGGUGCGCGGUCCACUCCUGCCCUGGCAACUGGUCCAAAUGGCUGUCUCUCGAUGAAUACUGGUAUAAUACAUCUUUCCAUUCGGCGCUGGGCAAAACUCCAUUUGAGGUCAUCUACGGCCACCUUCCCAAGGAGUUUGGCGUCGCACACAUCGACGAAUGCUCAGUCCCUAGUCUUCUGGCAUGGCUCCAGGAGAGAGAAGUCAUGCUCGAACACUUACAACAACAGCUCAAGCGCGCCCAGGAUCACAUGAAGGUCCAGGCCGACCGGCACCGUACGGUCAGAGAGUUUGCGGUUGGGGAUGCAGUGUUGCUCAAGUUGCAGCCGUUCAUACAAUCCUCCGUGGCGCAACGACCGCAUCAGAAGCUCGCCUUCCGCUAA